rnacentral:tRNA from 1 species
CGGCGUUUUAUAGCUAAGUAGCUGAAAGUUCUUGUGAAAGAUGAGACUCUUAAUCUGCGGGUCCCAGGUUCGAGCCCUGGUGCGCCCACCA